CCUACGGGAGGCAGCAGUGAGGAAUAUUGGUCAAUGGGCGUAAGCCUGAACCAGCCAAGUCGCGUGAGGGAUGAAGGUUCUAUGGAUCGAAAACCUCUUUUAUAAGGGAAUAAAGUGCGGGACGUGUCCCGUUUUGUAUGUACCUUAUGAAUAAGGAUCGGCUAACUACGUGCCAGCAGCCGCUGUAAUACGGAGGAUCCGAGCGUUAUCCGGAUUUAGUGGGUUUAAAGGGUGCGUAGGCGGCCUUUUAAGUCAGCGGUGAAAGUCUGUGGCUCAACCAUAGAAUUGCCGUUGAAACUGGGAGUCUUGAGUAUGUUUGAGGCAGGCGGAAUGCGUGGUGUAGCGGUGAAAUGCUUAGAUAUCACGCAGAACCCCGAUUGCGAAGGCAGCCUGCCAAGCCAUGACUGACGCUGAUGCACGAAAGCGUGGGGAUCAAACAGGAUUAGAUACCCUGGUAGUC
rnacentral:rRNA from 1 species